rnacentral:rRNA from 1 species
UACAGAGGGUGCAAGCGUUGUUCGGAAUCAUUGGGCGUAAAGCGCUCGUAGGCGGUCUGCUAAGUCAGGUGUGAAAGCCCCGAGCUCAACUCGGGAAGUGCACUUGAAACUGGCGAACUUGAAUCCUGGAGAGGGUAGUGGAAUUCCGAGUGUAGAGGUGAAAUUCGUAGAUAUUCGGAGGAACACCAGUGGCGAAGGCGACUACCUGGACCAUUACUGACACUGAAAAGCGAAAGCCAGGGGAGCAAACGGG